rnacentral:rRNA from 1 species
CGGCAAAAGCUCAAAUUUGAAAUCUGGUACCUUUGGUAUCCGAGUUGUAAUUUGAAGAUGGUAACUUUGGAUUUGGUUCUUGUGUAAGUUCCUUGGAAUAGGGCUUCAUGGAGGGUGAGAAUCCCGUGUCGCGAGAAUACCAUUUCUUUGUAAAGUGCUAUCGAA